rnacentral:tRNA from 1 species
UAUAUUUUAGUGUAAUAGCACAAUAAUUUUUGAUUUUAUUAGAUAUAGGUAUAAAUUCUAUAAAAUAUAU